UACAGCGGCUGAGCGAAAAGUGAAGAGAGUGAAGAGUGGUGGUUUUAUCAUAAUAAUAGUAAUAAUAACAAUAACAAUUAAAAGCUCUGUUGUGCAUAUCUGGCGUCUGAAGAUGAGCUUGUGUACCACUCUACCAGAAGAGAGAGAGAGUCUCUCUGUAUGUCUUUAAUUUCAGAGAGAGAAUUCUCUCUCUAUUUUUAUUACUGAAACCAACUCUCUUUCUCUCAGAACCUCAUGCCAUGAGAGAGAGAGACAGAG
rnacentral:misc_RNA from 1 species